UUAGCCUCAAUAUUUAUUUUUAUGGUUUUAGUCAUUCAUGUAGAUUUAUUUGUUUUCCUACACAUGCAUACCAAGAUCCUUGUUUGCCCUAUAAACAUACCUUAUAAGGAUUGGGCAUGCCCAUUUACAUGGCAUUGCAUCCAGUAAGUUUCACAUUUAGCCACCCUGAGUACAAAACUGAUUGAGAAUAAAUUAAGAUUUAGUAUUCUUGACACAUUGGACUAUAACUGAUGGAUGAAAUCUGUGUUUAAAGAUUGCUCAGAUGCAACAUUGCUAAUGUGUAUCUUUACCUAUGUUAAGGUAAAAUGCUCUGUGUCACUGGUGGUUCCUUAAGACUAUUUAUGUCACUCUGUGUAAUUUCUGUCAAUGAAUGCUUCUCCAAAGCAGCCUCUCAGGCAUCCCAAUGCUUUGCUUGUUUGCUAUUUUCCCAUUAUGUCCUCCCAGCAGCUUUUAGUCCUAUAUGGAAGAAAGAAAACCGGGAACUCUUUCAUUCUCUAUGUAUGGGCGUGAAAGUUGAAGCUGGGAAAAGAGGGGAGAGGAAAGGAUUGCAAGGCGCCUCCUCAUAUCCCAGUCCUCUUUGAUGAAGAUCAUGGCCUAGGGGGCUGCUUUAGAGAAGGGACAGCCUUUGGAUAAAAAGGACCUAAUUACCUUGCCAAGUAUCAGUUCAAAACAGUGGCUCUCCUAAAGGUGAUGUAUCUUAAAGGCAAACAGUGGAACUUUGGCCAUUUCUGCCACCCCCACCCCCAAGCCCUAUUCAGUCCACUGCACUCCCCUGCCCACACCCACCAGUUCCAGAGAAGCUUUGUCAAUACCAGGAUGUAUAGAGUUUGGGUAAGAAGGGAUCCUCCUGACACUGUUCCUUUCUUCCUGAAUCCCUGGUAAGGGUCACAAUAUACAGCAAACCCACCCCCAUACACAUACCUAUUGACUUCUCUGCACAAUGGAACUCCCCACCCUCUCUAGAUGGACUUUAUUUAAAUUCAGUUUUAAAGUCAUUUUAAAUGUAAGGCUGAAUUCUGCUCCAUAUUUGAAACCUGCAUUGGCUGGGAUGUGUAUUUUUCGUCUGAAUUCUGUCUUCUUCUAAUACUAUUCAUAUGCAACACAAGGAAUAUGAGAGGCAUAUGAAAAAUAACUAUGCUACCGUUUUUCACUAGACUUCUAAGAACUGAAGGCCAUGCUUUGCUCUGAAGCAGCACAGUAAUACCUAUUCUUUAAUUAGGCACCACCACAUGUGAUUCACAAAUAACACUUAUUACAAUGCCUAAAUGUGAGGAAUCAAAUCAAAUUUAGCCCAGAGCUAAUUAACCUUGUGAUCUGCCAGUUUUCUACCCUUGUGUUUUCAACUAGACUCCCAAACUGUCAAAAGAGCAAGGGGAAUGCAAGAUUGCCUCCAUAUUCUUUUAGUAAUAGACCUAUGUAUUUGUUCUUAAAGGUACUUGAUUAGACUCCCCCUUUUUUUCAAUUACUGUAUGUUUUUUCCCUAUACCCACAAUCAAAGGGAAGGCUAUAGAGUAAUACUUACAAAUGGGAAGUAUUCAUUUAUUCAAUCUGAAUGCCCAUCAUUUGGUUUAGGACCGACAUAGAACAGUAAAAGUAUACCAGAUGACCCCCAUAGCAAGUGUCAUUUCAAAAACAAUAAACAUGUUUUUGAAGGGUCCUUCA
rnacentral:lncRNA from 1 species